GGGAGUAUAACUCAGUGGUAGAGCAUGUGCUUGGUGUGCAUGAGGUCCUGGGUUCAAUCCCAGUGCCUCCG
rfam:Camelus ferus unplaced genomic scaffold scaffold1532, whole genome shotgun sequence.